rnacentral:rRNA from 1 species
CAGGGCAUUGCCUCAGUAGCGGCGAGUGAAGCGGCAAAAGCUCAAAUUUGAAAUCUGGCGUCUUUGGCGUCCGAGUUGUAAUUUGAAGAAGGUAUCUUUGGGCCCGGCUCUUGUCUAUGUUCCUUGGAACAGGACGUCACAGAGGGUGAGAAUCCCGUGCGAUGAGAUGACCCGGGUCUGUGUAAAGUUCCUUCGACGAGUCGAGUUGUUUGGGAAUGCAGCUCUAAGUGGGUGGUAAAUUCCAUCUAAAGCUAAAUAUUGGCGAGAGACCGAUAGCGAACAAGUACAGUGAUGGAAAGAUGAAAAGAACUUUGAAAAGAGAGUGAAAAAGUACGUGAAAUUGUUGAAAGGGAAGGGCUUGAGAUCAGACUUGGUAUUUUGCAUGCUGCUCUCUCGGGGGCGGCCGCUGCGGUUUACCGGGCCAGCAUCGGUUUGGAGCGGCAGGAUAAUGGCGGAGGAAUGUGGCACGGCUUCUGCUGUGUGUUAUAGCCUCUGACGAUGCUGCCAGCCUAGACCGAGGACUGCGGUUUUUAACCUAGGAUGUUGGCAUAAUGAUCUUAAGUCGCCCGUCUUGACCCGGGACACCGG